rnacentral:rRNA from 1 species
CCGGAGUACUAUGAAUAUUAAAAAUUUAAAACUCAAAGAACUUGGCGGUGNCCNUAGACCACUCAGGGGAACCUGUCUCAUAAUCGAUAAUCCACGUUGUACCUGACCUUUUUUUGUAUUCAGUUUGUAUACCGUUGUCGUCAGGUAACUUUUUAGAAAUUAGAAGUUAGCAGUAGAAAUAAAAAAUAAUUUAAUACGUCAAAUCAAGGUGCAGCUAAUGAAAAGGGGAGGAUGGGUUACAAUUAUAUAAUUUAUAAUAACGGAUAGGUAUAUGGAGUAUGUAUUAAUUAUAAGGCGGACUUGAAAGUAAAUUAGGUUAUAUAAAUAACUUGAAUGAGGCUCUGAAACGUGU